rnacentral:rRNA from 1 species
UACGUAGGGUGCGAGCGUUAAUCGGAAUUACUGGGCGUAAAGCGUGCGCAGGCGGUUCGCCGUGUCCGAUGUGAAAGCCCCGGGCUUAACCUGGGAAUGGCAUUGGAAACUGGCGGGCUGGAGUAUGGCAGAGGGGGGUGGAAUUCCACGUGUAGCAGUGAAAUGCGUAGAGAUGUGGAGGAACACCGAUGGCGAAGGCAGCCCCCUGGGCCAAUACUGACGCUCAGGCACGAAAGCCAGGGGAGCAAACGGG